GAUGAACGCUGGCGGCGUGCCUAAUACAUGCAAGUCGAGCGAACAGACGAGGAGCUUGCUCCUCUGACGUUAGCGGCGGACGGGUGAGUAACACGUGGAUAACCUACCUAUAAGACUGGGAUAGCUUCGGGAAACCGGAGCUAAUACCGGAUAAUAUAUUGAACCGCAUGGUUCAAUAGUGAAAGACGGUUUUGCUGUCACUUAUAGAUGGAUCCGCGCCGCAUUAGCUAGGUGGUAAGGUAACGGCUUACCAAGGCAACGAUCCGUAUCUGACCUGAGAGGAUGAUCAGCCAAACUGGAACUGAGACACGGUCCAGACACCUACGGGAGGCAGCAGUGGGGAAUAUUGGACAAUGGGCGCAAGCCUGAUCCAGCCAUACCGCGUGGGUGAAGAAGGCCUUCGGGUUGUAAAGCCCUUUUGUUGGGAAAGAAAAGCAGCAGGUUAAUACCCCGCUGUUCUGACGGUACCCAAAGAAUAAGCACCGGCUAACUUCGUG
rnacentral:rRNA from 1 species